GCCCGCCUAGCUCAAUCGGAUAGAGCGUCAGACUUUUACGACUUAGGCAUCGGGCAAAUCUGAAGGCUGCGAGUUCGACCCUCGCGGUGGGCU